GACGAACGCUGGCGGCGUGCCUAAUACAUGCAAGUAGAACGCACAGUUUAUACCGUAGCUUGCUACACCAUAGACUGUGAGUUGCGAACGGGUGAGUAACGCGUAGGUAACCUGCCUGGUAGCGGGGGAUAACUAUUGGAAACGAUAGCUAAUACCGCAUAAUAUUAAUUAUUGCAUGAUAAUUGAUUGAAAGGUGCAAUUGCACCACUACCAGAUGGACCUGCGUUGUAUUAGCUAGUAGGUGAGGUAACGGCUCACCUAGGCGACGAUACAUAGCCGACCUGAGAGGGUGAUCGGCCACACUGGGACUGGGACACGGCCCAGACUCCUUCGGGAGGCAGCAGUAGGGAAUCUUCGGCAAUGGACGAAAGUCUGACCGAGCAACGCCGCGUGAGUGAAGAAGGUUUUCGGAUCGUAAAGCUCUGUUGUAAGAGAAGAACGGGUGUGAGAGUGGAAAGUUCACACUGUGACGGUAUCUGACCAGAAAGGGACGGCUAACUACGUG
rnacentral:rRNA from 1 species